rnacentral:rRNA from 1 species
GGGUGGCGUAGGCGGGUAGGGUAAGUCAGUGGUGAAAUACCUGGAGCUCAACUCCAGAACUGCCAUUGAUACUAUCUAUCUUGAAUAUUGUGGAGGUAAGCGGAAUAUGUCAUGUAGCGGUGAAAUGCUUAGAUAUGACAUAGAACACCCAUUGCGAAGGCAGCUUACUACGCAUAUAUUGACGCUGAGGCACGAAAGCGUGGGGAUCAAACAGGAUUAGAUACCCGGGU